rnacentral:rRNA from 1 species
AAACCGCCUAGGGGUUAAGCCCGAUGAACCCGAAUAUCUGAAAUGGGAAAUUCAAUAUUGUUAAAAUCAUUAUUAAUAAUAAUGUUUAAAAUUGUAUGCACUUUUCCCAUAGUAAGACAUUGCAAUCCAUUAGUAUAUUUAACAUCUUAAUUGAUGUUAAUCGUUUAUUAAAAGGCCCAAGCAAUUAGCUUAUCCUAGCUGUGAUAAUUUUAUCGAUUGUCAUAUGGAUAAUAUUGCAAAUUGGUGUCCCUAAUAAGCAGCUGAUGGAAUUAAACAAUUGAAUCAUCCAAACAUUUGUGACAAAUGUAACACAAUUAUUUUUAAAGUUAAUAAUUUUUGAUAAUGUAUGUGUUAGGAUGUAUUUGAUUAGCAAUGCGAUAGAUUUGGGAUACCUUCGGGACCCGUCUUGAAACACGGACCAAGAAGUUUAACAUAGGCGCAAGUCAUUGGGUUAUCUGUUGAAACCUAAAGGCGAAAUUAAAAUAACUAGUUGUUUAUUUUUCGAAAUAAACAAUAGAAUGGGAUUACGAAAAUUUAAAAGAUUUUCCUCCAUCCCGGGGCGUUCUAUACGAACAUGGUUUCAAGCAAUUGGGCCCUCUGUUCAAGAGCGUACCUUGAGCGUCUAUGUUGAGACCCGAAAGAUGGUGAACUAUACCUGAUCAGGUUGAAGUCAGGGGAAACCCUGAUGGAGGACUGAAGCAGUUCUGACGUGCAAAUCGAUUGUCAGAAUUGGGUAUAGGAGCGAAAGACUAAUCGAACCAUCUAGUAGCUGGUUCCCUCCGAAGUUUCCCUCAGGAUAGCUGGUGCAAUUAUAAAUUCUAAUAAUAAUCUUAUCUGGUAAAGCGAAUGAUUAGAGGCCUUGGGGCCGAAACGACCUCAACCUAUUCUCAAACUUUAAAUGGGUAAGAACCUCAUCUUUCUUGAUSUGAAGAUAUUGAGGUUUAGAUAUAUUGUGCCCAGUGGGCCACUUUUGGUAAGCAGAACUGGCGCUGUGGGAUGAACCAAACGUGAUGUUACGGCGCCAAAAUUAAUGACUCAUAUAGAUACCAUGAAAGGCGUUGGUUGCUUAAAACAGCAGGACGGUGGACAUGGAAGUCGUAAUCCGCUAAGGAGUGUGUAACAACUCACCUGCCGAAGCAACUAGCCCUUAAAAUGGAUGGCGCUCAAGUCAUAUGCCUAUACAUCACCGCUAGAGUAAUUGAAUUAAAAAAAAGAAAUUUCUUUUAAUUUAUGAAACUCUAGUGAGUAGGAGGGUACAAUGGUGUGCGCAGAAGUGUUUGGGGUGACCCUGCAUGGAGCCGCCAUUGGUACAGAUCUUGGUGGUAGUAGCAAAUAAUCGAAUGAGAUCUUGGAGGACUGAAGUGGAGAAGGGUUUCGUGUGAACAGUGGUUGAUCACGAGUUAGUCGGUCCUAAGCUCUAUGCGAAAGCUGUUUAAUUUAUGU